rnacentral:rRNA from 1 species
CAGUCGAGCGAGCUUGCCUAGAUGAUUUUAGUGCUUGCACUAAAUGAAACUAGAUACAAGCGAGCGGCGGACGGGUGAGUAACACGUGGGUAACCUGCCCAAGAGACUGGGAUAACACCUGGAAACAGAUGCUAAUACCGGAUAACAACCCUAGACGCAUGUCUAGAGUUUGAAAGAUGGUUCUGCUAUCACUCUUGGAUGGACCUGCGGUGCAUUAGCUAGUUGGUAAGGUAACGGCUUACCAAGGCAAUGAUGCAUAGCCGAGUUGAGAGACUGAUCGGCCACAUUGGGACUGAGACACGGCCCAAACUCCUACGGGAGGCAGCAGUAGGAAAUCUUCCACAAUGGACGAAAGUCUGAUGGAGCAACGCCGCGUGAGUGAAGAAGGGUUUCGGCUCGUAAAGCUCUGUUGGUAGUGAAGAAAGAUAGAGGUAGUAACUGGCCUUUAUUUGACGGUAAUUACUUAGAAAGUCACGGCUAACUACGUGCCAGCAGCCGCGGUAAUACGUAGGUGGCAAGCGUUGUCCGGAUUUAUUGGGCGUAAAGCGAGUGCAGGCGGUUCAAUAAGUCUGAUGUGAAAGCCUUCGGCUCAACCGGAGAAUUGCAUCAGAAACUGUUGAACUUGAGUGCAGAAGAGGAGAGUGGAACUCCAUGUGUAGCGGUGGAAUGCGUAGAUAUAUGGAAGAACACCAGUGGCGAAGGCGGCUCUCUGGUCUGCAACUGACGCU